GGGCGCGUAGCUCAGUGGUAGAGCACUACCUUGACAUGGUAGGGGUCGGUGGUUCAAUCCCACUCGCACCCACCA
rnacentral:tRNA from 1 species